CACGUAGGGCGCAAGCGUUGUCCGGAAUUAUUGGGCGUAAAGAGCUCGUAGGCGGUCUGUUGCGUCCGCUGUGAAAACUCGGGGGCUUAACCCCCGAGCCUGCAGUGGAUACGGGCAGACUAGAGGUAGGUAGGGGAGAAUGGAAUUCCCGGUGUAGCGGUGAAGUGCGCAGAUAUCGGGAGGAACACCGGUGGCGAAGGCGGUUCUCUGAGCCUUACCUGACGCUGAGGAGCGAAAGCGUGGGGAGCGAACAGG
rnacentral:rRNA from 1 species